CACGCUUACAUAGAGGGCGAACGGAUGAAAAUAUCGCAGCUGUAUCGGCCAGUGUUAAUGAUGACCAUCAAUUAUCGAUUCGUUGCCGUUCGCAGCAAUUGUGUCUCUGUUACUCAACAACGUGGAAAAUUUUGCGAAAGGAUUUAGGUGUGAAGCCUCUCAAAAUACAGCUGGUGCAAGAAUUGAAGCCGAACGACCUACCACAACGCGGAUUUUUGGUGAAUGGGUUCUUAGAAAGAGAUACCGGCCGAAACAUUGGAAAGGCUCUUAAAAAAUCACCCUUUAUUAGUCUUUGUUGUUCCUUAAUGUGUCGGAAACCAUAGAGACAAUCAAAAUGUUGUAAAUAAUAGGUAGAUCACGACAGAUUUAUGUAUCCAUCACCACCGAUACACCAAACAAAAUUUGGCCAUCUGACGCAAAAUUAUGCGAGUAACAUCGGCGGCCACGUCAUCGGGAAUUCGGUAGCCCAUUUCACACGUGCUCACACACUCAUUCGAUAAGUCGUUGUUCAGACCGCGCAUGCCAGCUGAUGGAAGAAAUGGCGGUCUGCCAGUGAUAAGGCGCCAAGAAUAUCUAACGAAAACAGUUAUUUUUUACGUUAAGUCUGCGAUAUACAUAAAUAAAUAUAAUAUAAAUAAGAGAGGAAAAUAUAAAUGCAGAAAGCAAAUAUUAAGGUUAGUACAAGGUUGAUAUUUCAGCUUACAGAUCAUAUUUAAUACUGUUUUUCAACAAGGAAAUGUCAAAAUGAGUUUUCUUUACUUUGUAAAAUUUUAUAAAAAAAAAAUUUGUAAGCUAUAGAAAUUAAGCUUUGUUAAUUUGUUUGUUCUUUUACAGAUUUGUUUUUGUUACCCACUAUUCUUAUAUAUAUAUAAAAAUUGCACUAUUUUUGAAGUGAAACUUCUUUAGGCGCGUCGGGGGCCCCAAGGCAGAUUGAAAAUAGGCGAGUGAAACUGUAAGUUCGGAGCGUUACCGAAAUCCGUCAAAUGGGCGGGGGCCAAGGAGCAGCUGCUCCUUCCCACUCUCGCCUAUUCGCUCUCUCGCAUCGCAAGCGCUGAACGAAAUGUAUAUAGCACACAAGUAAGCAUUGAAGUAGACUGACGACAUGCAGGCAACCGACAAUCGACAACCGACAACGGGUAUUAUAGAUAGCCAUAGCCCGUGCAAAUGAGUGCUGUGUGUGAGUAUCAGAUAAAGCGCCGAUUGAAUGUGUGUAAGCGGGAAAGCAAUAAGAAACUGCUGUGAAGUAAAUAGAUGGUAGGUAUGGAGGAGACGAAGCGAUACAAUGAGUGCGUUUGCCAAACGAGUGACGAUAGUUGAAGUAGAAGGUUGUAAAAUGACAUUUCAACCGUUUCGGUGAUCAAAGCAAAUUGAUUAACGCGCCAAAAGUAGGCAAAAAAUACCAUUGGAAGUGCAAAGAAAUGUCAGCGUCAAGUGCAGCACUGCACCCAAGUGUCAAAUUUGAAGCUAAUAAGGACAAAAAUAAAUAGUACAAAUUUAUGUGGAGUGAUAUAGAAAAAAAAAAAUGAAAACCUGAAUUUAACACCCCCCCUCGGGAGAGAUCUAAACCGGGGCUCCCAUGCAUGGAACAACCAACUUAGAAGUUUCACUUCUACCGUGCGUGAGUCUGACAGACCCUAGUUUUUUUUUUACUCCUUGUUCACUACUCUCGGGAGCAUCGGGCCUCGACAAGAAUCAGUCUUGCGUUGGUUUCGUUAAUGUAGAAUAUUUUGAUUUCUGACAGGUGAUUAGCCUGCCGCUAUCAGUCCUAAAUAGUGGGAAUGCCCACUUAUCGUUGUUUAAGAACAACACCUUACUGCUUGGAACGCCAUCUGUGUUUUAUUUUUUUCUGGUAGAAGGAUCGCACAGAUGAUUGAGGACUCCGCUAAAUUUGCAGCCACAAUGCAUACAAUGCGCUGACCAUUGUGCGGGAGUAAUUUGUUUUGGGGGGUUGAGAAAGGGUAAAUUUGGAAAAGUUCGAGGACCGUGCUUAACGUGGGAUUCGAACUCACAACCUCUGGGAUGGCAGGCUAGUGCACUUACACUAGACUACCGAGGUCGCUGAUGGAAACUAUAUAUAAGUAUAUUUUUUAAACAUUUAUGGAUAAAUACAAAGAAGUCCAUGAAUACCUAUAAUUGUCGUGGAUGGUAAGCAUGUGUACCUGGGCACCCGCGCACUAAAUACCAACCUCAAUGGCGGUGUGAAAACUAAAAAUUCCGAAUUUUUGUUUAAGAAAUACGUCGAUUCAGACAAACUUAGGCUUAAAAUGUAGGUGACAAAAUUGUCUUUCAGAAAACUUAUCUUAUGUCGAUGUAAAAAAAAUUUUUG